AUUGAACGCUGGCGGCAGGCCUAACACAUGCAAGUCGAGCGAGCGGCGGACGGGUGAGUAAUGUCUGGGAAACUGCCUGAUGGAGGGGGAUAACUACUGGAAACGGUAACUAAUACCGCAUACAAUCAGAUUUGCCCAGAUGGGAUUAGCUAGUAGGUGGGGUAACGGCCCACCUAGGCGACGAUCCCUAGCUGGUCUGAGAGGAUGAUCAGCCACACUGGAACUGAGACACGGUCCAGACUCCUACGGUAGGCAGCAGUGGGGAAUAUUGCACAAUGGGCGCAAGCCUGAUGCAGCAAGGCCGCGUGUGUGAAGAAGGCCUUCGGGUUGUAAAGCACUUUCAGCGGGGAGGCGUUACCCGCAGAAGAAGCACCGGCUAACUCCGUGCCAGCAGCCGCGGUAAUUC
rnacentral:rRNA from 1 species